rnacentral:lncRNA from 1 species
CCAGUUGAAGGUUUUAGGAAAUUCUUUUCUACCCACUGCUUGUUAACAGCAUCCUUAUCAUUUACAGGAUCCUUUAGAUCAAGAAUUCCACUUGAAUCUCCCAUAUCUAAGUCACCUUUUACCAAUCCACCUCUACUACUCAUGAACUCAUCAGUCGCCCACUUCUUAUUAACAGCUGAACCGUCCGUUGUGGGAGUUCCAACCCUAGUUAACUCAUAAUCGUUAACAUCUAAAUUGCUAGCUAGAACACCACCAUCACGCUUAAGAAACUGUGAGCACCAUGAAGUCAUGGAACCGUAAGAAACAGCACUAGAACUUCCCGUUGACCCACUAUCUAGUCCUGUAAUAGUAUUACCAGCCAUGUCAAUAUUACCGCUCAUAGUAAAGCCACUACUACCUAAAGAACUUCCACUGACAUGAUCCGUGACCCAUUUCUUAGACACGGCAGAAUUAUCAGUUGUAGGAGCACCAAUAUUUAUUAUUUCAUUUCCACCCAUUCUAAGACCUCCUGUCAUUGCUCGCGAACCGCUAAGUUUUAAUAAGUUUGUUGUGUACGUUUUAAGAUACUGCAACCUUACAAGACUAUUUGAGUUUCCAGGGUCGGAGUUACAGUUAGGUGCAUUGCUAAAAUUAAUAGUGCCACCAACAUUUAAAGAUCCUGUUCCGUCUAACCGUAGAAAUGUUCCUUCAUUUAAACUAAACCAGCUUUUUGUAACCGCAGACUGAUCACUCGUAGGAUCCCCAACAUUUUCAAUUUCGUUACCACCCAUGUCAAUAUUACCACUCAUAGUAAAGCCACUACUACUUGCGGAACUCCCACUGACAUGGUUUGUGACCCAUUUCUUAGACACAGCAGAAUUAUCAGUUGUAGGAGCACCCAACUUUAUGAUUUCAUUGCUUCCCAUAUCAAGGUCACUAGCCAUUUCAUUUGAACCAUCU